CGCCGCGUCAUCUGGGGAGUAGCCGCCUGCGCCCCCUUGUCUCGGCCAUCGCCUGGGCAAGACCAGCAGGACCUGUCGUCAACAUACUUGGUCGAGAGACCAUGGCGCACAGGAGGACGGAAAGGACCGUCCGGGCGAGACCAAUGGCGUUGCAGCUCCGUCC
rnacentral:sRNA from 2 species